UACGUAGGGCGCGAGCGUUGUCCGGAUUUAUUGGGCGUAAAGAGCUCGUAGGCGGCUUGUCGCGUCGUCCGUGAAAACCUGCAGCUCAACUGCAGGCUUGCGGUCGAUACGGGCAGACUGGAGUACUGCAGGGGAGACUGGAAUUCCUGGUGUAGCGGUGGAAUGCGCAGAUAUCAGGAGGAACACCGGUGGCGAAGGCGGGUCUCUGGGCAGUAACUGACGCUGAGGAGCGAAAGCAUGGGGAGCGAACAGG
rnacentral:rRNA from 1 species